UACCAUCCCUUGACAUGUAGAGAACUUUCUAGAGAUAGAUUGGUGCCUUCGGGAACUCUAACACAGGUGCUGCAUGGCUGUCGUCAGCUCGUGUCGUGAGAUGUUGGGUUAAGUCCCGCAACGAGCGCAACCCUUAUCAUUAGUUGCUAACAUUUAGUUGAGAACUCUAAUGAGACUGCCGGUGAUAAACCGGAGGAAGGCGGGGACGACGUCAAGUCAUCAUGGCCCUUAUGGGAUGGGCUACACACGUGCUACAAUGGGGGGUACAAAGAGCAGCCAACUGGCAACAGUGCGCGAAUCUCAAAAAACCCUUCGUAGUCCGGAUUGGAGUCUGCAACUCGACUCCAUGAAGUNGGAAUCGCUAGUAAUCGCGGAUCAGAAUGCCGCGGUGAAUACGUUCCCGGGCCUUGUACACACCGCCCGUCACACCAUGAGAUGUUGA
rnacentral:rRNA from 1 species